UGUGCGGAAGUCAUGCUGAGGUAGCACAUGUUUAAUUUUCCGUGCUAUAAAAAGGGGUGGGUUCUCAUUGUAAUUUGCACACCUGCAUUUGUAGUAAACAUCCCUCUUCUCGAGCUUUGGAAUCAUCACCUCGUUUUGUAUCGAGUUCAAGAUGAGCAAAAGAUCGAGGAAACACCACAUCUGAAAUAUCUCACGACCACGAUCACUCGUUUCUCCAAGCGUACUAGAUUCCUGGAUGUUGAGGUCCAAUGUCGAGACAAAUGGCAGAUCAAAAUCCAGACAUUGUAUGGUCAGGCGAUGCUUACAUAUGCAAUAAGCAGCUAAAAGCACUAUCCAUACGAAACUAAUAUACCAGUAGGCAGUAUAUUCCUUUAUGUGGAUCCUGGGCGGAGAAGGAAACGAACACCUGGGCCACGUGGAAGAUUUAUGCGAGGGUCAAAAUGGAGAGAAAAGGGUUAAGAGUGCGAUUAUUACUUCCUAAGUUAAAUCCACAGCCAAGAGAAGUUUUCAUUACUUAUCGAGAUUGCGUUAGGUGCAGGACGCAUAGUAGGGAUUGGAGGAUAUAUAUAUAUUCUUUCGAUUUCGAUAGGGGUGUGUUCCAGAUUAAAUCGUAUCAUGCGAUGGAAUCGUAUGUUGGGCAUCGUACGAUAGUAAUUUCUUUAUUCUCAUCCCCAUUACAGGCGAGUAUUUUGCUGUAGAUUGUCCUCGUUAAUGCCUUUACAAGAUGGGUUUCGUAUGAUUUGUAAUAAGUUUGAGCUUUUGAGGAUGUCUGAAACGAGGGGAAAGAAACAGGACAGGAUUUCACCCUGGUUUGCUGAAGUUUUAACCUGCGGGGGAUGCAAAUUGGAGGUGCUAUUUCUCGAUUUUUGGACCUGUCUCGAAGAGUAGUUGCGGUCGUUUAUGUACAAAGUGCAAUAUAUUGGAGGUAUAUUAGGGAUUGGAGGAUAUAUUUUUUGUUAGAUUGUCAUAUAUGUAAAUGUUACUGUUUAAUUUUACUUCCAACUUUUUAUUUUCAUAAACUUAUUUC